rnacentral:other from 1 species
AUUCGGCUGCCGUGCACGUGACGCGUGGUCAUCAAGCCCGGACUGUUAUCAUUAGUUAAGGGGCCAACGGUACGGGGGGAUAUGUUCCGUCCGUGAGACGGACUCAACCGAGAAUCCCCGUCCUCGCACCCACCUGUCAUUCAGGGAACGCGGCUCUCAUACCACUGACGGCACCGGCGGCCAACCC